ACAUCCUUUUUCCUACGAACCCCAAAAAAUACUGUAUCCUCUUUCACGUUCACACCUUCACGCACUCGCAUGUUGCUCUAGCCAGAUCCCCUUUCUCUCUUCCUUGUUAUCUCCGUUCACUCCAAAAUUACUGCCGCCGGAUAGCUCCCCGUCAGCUUGCUUCCUUGAUUCGUUGCCAUGAGCUUGCUCAUCCUCUCCUGCAGCCACCCCCGCAGCUCGAUUCGCUGGUCCCGCCAUAGGAUGACCUUCAACGACGGCUGGUUUGUCUCCACGUACGCCUUCUCGGUCUCCUAGGCUGGUAAACGGCGAUGGAGGGGUAGCAGGCCCAAGGUCAAGCUGCGAAGGGAGUAGGCGAGAUCAUCCAUCUGCGCGGUGUUGUUGCUGUCGGCGUCCGUGCAGGUGAUGUGGGCAUGGAUUUCGUCUCUCGCAGCCAUCUUUGAUCCAUCUUUAGUACAUUAUGAGGAUGGUGGAAACGUUUUCCACCCCUAGAGCGCCAGCCAAACGCAUCCUCCACAUGGGCGACAUUAUUUGAAGUUCGAAGGUCCCUCUUUCCCUUUUCCUUGACUAUCAUUUUUUUUUCAGAACCGUUUCCUUUGUUUGUGUGAUUGAACAUAACGUAAUUAAGGACAUGCCUGUUUAGUGAAAAUUGUUUCUUCAUUUUUCCUUGGAUCUUGAAAAAGAAUGUGAUUAUUUUUUUAAGGGCUCCAUAGGUGUUGAAUGAGGUAGAUAAUAAUUAGGGAGUGAAAUUGGAAAGAAUGUAAGCAUAUGUCCGCGCAUACAUGAUAACAGAAUUGACGGUGCUUUUGCCAUCGACAUGCAUGUAGGGGAUGUGCUAGCUUCUCUCGCGUGCGAGUGUGAGGUUGGUGGGGACAAUGUUGUCCCCAAGUGUGUAGUCGGACGCGUCCUCACUGUCCCAAAGCGAGGCAGCCUGAAAAUUUUCUCCGUCGUCGACAGAGGCAACCUGCUUGGUCAUUGAAUAUUUUGACCUACAUGUCCUCCUUCCUCUUAUCCUUUUUUGUCUUUGUAUGAUUGAACUAAUAUAAUUAAAUAAGGUAGUGCUUUUUAGUGACUAACGUUCCUGUUUAUGGUUUUUAUACCAUCAUGUAUACCCGUUGCUCUUGAUUUUCUUUCCAUCGACUUAUGGUAAAGGUACUAAAUGAUGAUAGUAAGUUAUGAAUGCCAAAUACAGAUUACAGUGUAGUGUUAAUAUGUUUAUGGCCCCUCCACUUUUUUUCCACUCUUGGGAUGACAUUGGCAGUGUGAGGCCCCUCUACCCCUAUUCAACAAACUUAAAAAUAAUUAGUAUACUUAUGGUUAGCUACAAUUUUAAUAUUUUCCAAAGACAAAUUAAGAUUCAAAACGAAAUUUUAAAAUAGGUCUGAUUGCGUUGUAGAUAUACAAUGUAUUGACUCUGCAUAUGUUAAUUCACUGGCUUCUUCACACAUCCAUCUAGUGUGUAAAUUUAGUGAUUCCUACUCUUUCUUUCGUUAUGAUCUUUGUUAAAUCUGUAGAAUCAGAGAAAAUGACUUGCUGCUCAUUUUCCAUGUAGAAAGGCAAUCUUUUGACGUAAGGAUCUCUGAAGUGCAAUUCAAACUGAACUAUUUUCCAACAACUAGAAGUGUGGCUUGGUCAUCACCUUUACUUAUGUAUUUAAAAAGGUUUCUCAAAUUCCAUGCUAUGUGGCCCACUAUUUCUUUUCAUUGUUUAUUCCUGCACAAUAGAGAAUGAAAAUAUAAAGUUCAAGAGGAUGAUAUUAUAAUAUUAUUACAAACAGUGGUAGAACCAAAUUUGUGUUUUUUUGGGGAGAUGGAUCAUGGAUGACUACAAAGAUCAAUGACGAUGAACCUGCUGAUAUUUGGAGAUGGGAGUAUCUUGCUCCGCCGCUUGAGAACUGGGCCGGCCAGCCCUGUUCGUCCCAAUGGUUGGUCCACCACAGGUUACGGAUUAAUGCUCAAGUUUGUGAAGAUUCAUUAUUUUUAUUACUUUUUGCCUUACUUUUCACGUUAUUUUUAUGCCAUUUGUACUUGAUUAAUGAGGUAUUUUAUUUAGACAGAAUUACUGAGGUAUUCAGUCCAAAUAUUAUGUGAACCAUUAUCUGAUCUAGAUACUGCAAGUAGAUAUCAUACUGCAGUAUCCUUACCCUUUGCUUCUUAAUAGACUUCAGACCUAUGGUCGCCGUUCCGCAAUCCUAGAUUAUAGUAGAGGAGGAUGCUAUAAUUCUGUGAGAUGGUACUUACUAAAGAUGGUCUGAUCUCUUGACAGAGCCGAUUAUGAUUGAGGAUAGUCGACAUGAGAUUGGGGUGCAGGUGACCGAUGUAGGAAGACAAUGCUUAAGUGCCACUUGUUGGAGGAAGUUGUCGAAGUGUUGUUUGCCGGAGGAAGAUGAUGUAAUAGGGGUACUCUGAAAUCUAAAGGACAAUGCAUUUUUGAGAUGGUCGAAGCAUUGCAUGGGGAAAGUAUUUUACGGAUGGCUGAGUUGACCACACUUGCUCGAUGGAAAGACAGGUUGCUUGGAUGCGGAGAGACUUUAUCUAUGUACGUGAAUGUGAGAUUUUGUUUAUGUUUGGAGAGAUUAUGUCUAGAUUUUAUUUAUGUACGUGAACGUGAGAUUUUGUUUAUGUUUGGAGAGACAUGUCUUUGUAAAAUAUUGAUAGAGUUUGGUUAUUGCGUCAGGAUCGUUUGACUUUUUCUUGGACCAUGAGAGUUAUAUAUUUUUAAACAUGUGAUGAUAAGUUUUUUUAA